UUCUGCUGAGCCUCCACCCUGGGACUGGCUCUCUUCCCAGCUCUCUCUCUUGCUAGCAAAUCUGUCUCUGUUCUCCGUUGAAACCCCUCGUUUUUUAAGGAUCGGUCCUGGGCCUGAUGUCUUUGCCACCAGCCCUCCGGGUGAGGGUUGGCCUCUCACACAGGCUCUGAUUCUCUACGGACCUGUGUCCAAGAGCUAGUUCACAGCAACUAUGCAUCUGCUAUCUCACCUGCUCUUCUGCAUUCCUUUGAGGAGGGGGCAAGGGUUGUUUUCUGCUUUGACUGUUUGAGAAAGAGGCCCAGAGAGACCCUGAAGCAUUGGCGUGGUCGUGGGGAGCAGGCCGAGCACCCCACCUGCGGGCCCAGGCUGUACACAGGGCAGCCCGCCACUGAGAACAGCCAGCCUGCGUGCCGGGCCCGCUCCCACUCCAUGCCAGAGCCCUGACGUGCAGCACUACAUCUCACCUACACGAGCCCUCUGGCAGGUGCCAUCGAGCUUCCCCCAAUGACACCCUGACUUCACCCAGCAAAACUCUCGCCUAGACAUCACUGAUGCAACGAGCAACACUUUGAUGGCUCGUGGAAGCAGCAGGUGCCAAGCCUGAUGAGUUGACCAACGCGUGUCAUCCAGACAGGACACGGAGGGCACAGCUCACACUGGCCCAUGGGAUGGAACUGGCAGCCUUGGUGUUAUUAGCGCCACGCUCUAACCAACUGAGCUAACCGGCCACCCUGAACGAUUUUCUUAAUGGUUACGUCAGAAAUAACCUGACUGAGUCAGAGACUUGGAAAUAUGCUCUUCACUCCCCAAACAUGGCUCAGAAAUGGACUCCCGUUCUCAGGGAUGUUUCCACCCGGCUAACACUAACCCUUACUCACUCCCCAGAUACUUGAGAGUCAGGAAAGUUCUGGGUUCUAUUGGGAGGGGUCAGUUACUGUGCAGGGUCAAAGGUCACCUUGAAGGGUCCUGGACCAAACCUGACCCCUGUUUUGAACUGGAGGAAAACCUGACAAAGUAUGUUAUUGCAUCUUGGGCUGGAAUUUACCAUUGGAAAUGCAGCCUUUGUCACUGGCAUAAGAACUGUUUUGCAUUUGAUGACAUUUUCAAAAUGGUGUGAAAAACCUUGACGUUUUUAUUAGAAAAUCUAUAAAGCCCAAACAAAUGGUUUCAUGCUGCUUUGCCUCAUUCUUCAUAGGUUCAUCGGCAAUCCAUCAUCCCUCCCACUCCCCCUGAACCCCUCGGCAUCAACGUUUUGCCCGUGAACAAAAGGACAACUCAGAGAAGCCUUUCACCCUUAGUGAUCCUUUGCCUCUCAACUUUUACCCCUUAAAUCAACUACAAUCAUUGCAAUUUCACUGGAUCCUUUCCUGAAAGGCUAAACAAUGUUGACGCCUCCUUCCAGAAACUCUUUCUUUACCUUUCAUGACACCGAAUGAAAGAAGCUUGACCUGCAUUCUCUUUAGUUAGAGAUGGGACUCUGUUUCUCUGGUCUCCCUUACAUGUGAUUAAAUGUCUAGUUUGAACCAAAUGAUUGGGUUCAGAGCAAAUAAAUUGAGGCCCUCUCUCCUGAAAAUAUGAUAACUUCCUCACGGCCUUUUGAAUAAACGUCUCAUCUAUCCCAAAUAUCCAAUAAGGUAACUUGCCUCACUGUCAGCUGUGGCCCACCCAAGCUUACUCCGCCUCUCAGCCUGGCACCUCCUACCUAUGCCUUCAGUCUCCCUAGAACAAACGUCUUGGACUUCCUCUCCUCACCUCCACCCUGGGGUUUCUUCCCUGCUGCCCCGCCUCCUGUUUCUGCCUCCCACUCACUGGUUAGGCUCCUUAGGCUCUCAAGCAUGGGAGUGGCUGCUUGCUCAUUGGACCCUGUCACUCUUUUUGCAUUUCUGAGUGAUUCUGAUGCCUCUGCCAAAACCAUCACCAUGUGGGUCUCUUAGUUGUCCACCUCGCUCCCUCCUGCUUACAGGGAUUAAUCAUCUUUUCUCUGUGUCCUGUUUUAUACUCAUCUAUUGAUUUCUUUCUUUUACCAAAUUUGUUAGGUAGUCACAGUUGGGCAGGUCGUGCGUUGGCGUGAGUUUUGGCUUAGGGGAGUUUCAUGUUUUUAAUUCUCACGAUAUUCUUAUGAAGUAGGGAAGUUGGAGAUUAUCAUUGGCUGCAUUUUAAAGAUGAUACUAGAGGCUCAAAGAGGGUAAGUCCCUUUUGUAAGGUUCCCCAGCUCCUAAGGACAGAGGUGAGACCCAGAUCUUUAGCCUCCAAAUCACAACACCUUUCUACCAUACACCUUUCACUUCCUCAUCGGCUGCUAUGCUGCAUCCUCAUUUCUGAUUUCUGGCCUCUCAGACCUCUCGUCAGUCCUCUGCUUGGCCCGGCUUCACCCGCAUUGCUUCCUCUCGUCCGCACCCUCUGCCAGCCAGCAGCACUGCACACAAGGUGGGGGACAGACCAGCCAGCAGCGCUGUGCCGCCUCAGAGCUGACUGCCUGGUUUGUAUGUGCUCUUCAGAGGAGGAUGUUGACCUGAAACGCUGUCAUCAGUUGUCCUCCACCCUCUCUGCCACCCUGCCAUAUCAAGCGCACACACACCCAUCAUGCCCAGGACACUGGCUGCUUCAUGGCAGGACAGUCCCGUGUUUGGGACAGUCCCCAAACUACCAUGGACUGUAAAACCUUGGAGGCUCAUCUGUGGUGUCGUUGUUUUUUCUCAUCCUCAAUGUGUUUUUCAGCACUGCCUGGGAGCAAACAGAUACUGGGCCGUGGGGAGAAGGAGAGAGAAAAGAAAAACCCAGCAGGCAGCUCAAGAAACUACCUGCAUCAACUCAACUCACCAAGUGAGACAGACAACAAACCUCUACCGCAGGUGAAGAGAAAAGCUGCCAAAAAAUUUAUAUAGACUGCUCUGCUGGGGGAUUUUUCUUCCUAAAUGGAGACUUCUGGGUCAUGUUUACUGAUUCCUCUCCAAGACCAGAAACAAACUCAAAUAGCAGGAAAUGCAGUAUUGCUCUAAACGGCACAAAUUAGCCAGGGGUAGGGGGCAAUACCCCAAGCCCGGCAAGAAUUCCUUUUGUCCCCUCAUCCAUCUCCUAUGUGACAGCAGCCAAACCAGACAGGCACGCAGAGCCAUGGGAGAGCAGUGAUGGCCCCCUCCUGGCACCUCACUCCAGGGAACCAUCCACCACAGGGAAGCUGUACCGUCUUCACAUGAAACUUCAGUCGGGUAUCCAGGUUUUGAAUGCAGCUAUGGAAUUAAGGUCCAAUAAGUUUCCCGAACAAGGCUGAGUGGGCUCAAGCUUGAAGAUUAUCCUGGGGUAGGCGGGAAGCGGGCAGGGGGAGGGUGAGAGCAGUCCAGCCAGCCGUCCCAGCAUGACACUGCACCUCUCUUCUUCCUCCGCCUGUCUGCCAACUAACAGCCUUGGCAGUCUUGGCAAAGGAGUAAGACCAGCCCCCUUUCUCAUCACGCCGCAUGUCCUCCCCGAGAGAGCACUCACCUAGGAGUCAACUACAUGGCUUCUUCCUUAUGGACACAAUGGGCAAAUCACAAACUCUCAGGGCCUCAACUUGUUUUAAAAAAAGAGGAUGUCUUCCCGCCAACCGAUUCCCAACCUUCUUCCCACCUUCCUCUGUGGGCACACACACACACACCGGAAGCACCCGGAGGGCUGGUAAGAAUUCCAAGAGUGCUGUGAAGUCCUUUCAAAGAACUCUGCAUAAAUAUUCGAACAUCUUUUGACAAUGACCACACGGCUAUUUGAGGUGCUCUCUUUGAGGUGCUCUUGUACUGUUUAAAAGAAAAGGCUUGGCUGCAGCUUGAGGCAAGUGGCAACCUCAACUUUCAUAGGUGCCAACUUCCACAGAAGGUAGAGAGGGUGCCUCGACCUGGGCUGGGCACUGCCCAUCACUUCAGGAAGCUGUUCCCUUCCAGAAAGUCAGCCUGGGGCUUGUUCCCAUAGCAACAUGGGAAAGUUGACUAAGGAGGGGAGAGUGGGAAAACUUGUGCUCAGCUAUCCUUCUCCCCAUUUGAUUUUAAUCUAAUCAGCAUGGAUUUAACAAAUGUGUUAUAUGUAUAAAUCAUAGAUAAACGUAUAUAAAAUACGUAGACACUUGCGUACGUAUCUAUGCUAGAUAUAUUGUUUGUUUGUUCUGAGCACACACUCCAGACACUACGACCGCAUUGCACUGCAGACCUGUAUUUUAGGCAAGGAUGUCCCACGAUCAUUUCUAGAUGGUAAUUGCCCUGGCUCCCAGGGUUCCCAGCACGUCUGGCUGCUCUCUGAAAGCUCUUUGAGGGAUUCUCAUCAUUAGAAUUCCCUGAGUUUUCGCUCCGUCCUUGCAAGCCAUCUGGCCUCUCUGUACCGCAGCUGCCGUCCACCCUCCCCCUGCCAUACACACCUGAGCCUUUGACAUCCCCCACCUGAAGCAAAUCCAUCCAGCAAGAAAAUCCAAAAUUGUAACCAGAAGUGUUUUCUUUCCCAAAAUCCAGAAUUAAUUCUUUUUUCUUUUAAAUCUCCAUUAAGUUUCAUUCUUAGCUUGUUUUUCUUAAAUCCGUUAUUUACGCUCUUGGAAUAUAUAUUACAGUAAACUGAAGAAAAUAAAGUCUACCUCCGUGUAAUAGUUUUGCCCAAUUAGCUGAGGCCGCUUGCCUCAGAGAUGUGCCUCCUGGACAUUUAUAAUUGUCAUUAACCAAAGGAGCAGAGGAGGUCGGAAUGUAGACGUCCUGGAGAGGCAAAGGUUGCAGGCAACAGGCAACCGCACGUGGGUUUGAAAGCCUCUGUCUGCUUCUUCCCAGAAGAAGGGAAGGUGCUAACCAGCAAGUCCUUGCUCGCUGUCAUUAACCCUGGCCAGAGGGACAUUCUGAGUGACAGAGAGCCACCAGAGCACCACUCAAAUGAAUACAUAACUAGUGAUGGCAUUUGCAGGACGCAGGAGCCUGGACACAAGAAGAGAGGACAGACAGAGGCGAGGUCCAACAGCAGUAGCUGUGCUGCUCGGAAACUGGGGCGGAGGUGGGCCUGGCGGGAGAAUGUUCAA